rnacentral:rRNA from 2 species
UACGAAGGGGGCAAGCGUUGUUCGGAAUUACUGGGCGUAAAGGGCGCGCAGGCGGCUGAUCAAGUCAGAUGUGAAAGCCCCGGGCUCAACCUGGGAAUAGCAUUUGGGACUGGUCGGCUAGAGUUCGGGAGAGGAGAGUGGAAUUCCCAGUGUAGAGGUGAAAUUCGUAGAUAUUGGGAAGAACACCGGUGGCGAAGGCGGCUCUCUGGACCGAUACUGACGCUGAGGCGCGAAAGCGUGGGGAGCAAACAGG